rnacentral:rRNA from 1 species
UACGGAGGGUGCUAGCGUUGUUCGGAAUCACUGGGCGUAAAGGGCGUGUAGGCGGUCUGUUAAGUCUGAUGUGAAAUCCCCUCGCUCAACGAGGGAACUGCGUCGGAUACUGGCAGACUCGAGUACCGGAGAGGAAGGUGGAAUUCCCGGUGUAGCGGUGAAAUGCGUAGAUAUCGUGAGGAAGACCAGUGGCGAAGGCGGAUCUCUGGACAGUUCCUGACACUGAGGCACGAAGGCCAGGGGAGCAAACGGG